rnacentral:lncRNA from 1 species
CUGAAGUAGAAGGUUAUUCUCCUCUUUCACCAUCCAUAUGGUUUAAGUGGCAUAGUUUCUUUUAAGAGGACCUUAACCCUCAGUCCUCUAGGAAGAUACCUUGUCAACAAAUGUUUUCUGUGUGAAUACUUGUGUAGUUGCGGUCUCAACACUGUCAUUAUAGGAGUACACAGAACUACUUCUGAGUGCUACAGGAAUGCAGUGAAAUUUCCACCCUUUAAAAGUGACAGAGGCUCUGUCUUCUUUUUGAAUAAGAAUAUGUUAGAUAAACCAUAUGUAACUCACAGGAAAACUCCUUACAGGAAGAAUAACACAUAUAUGGCACUCGUAUGAGACAUAAACUGUGCGUAUAUUUGGUUCGCAGAGGUACUAAUGAUCAUCACCACAGACCUAGGUUUCUCACACAAGCAUGGAUCCAUAUCCCUGUUUCUAAACUAGUUUUAUAGUACCCUUCUCAAGUCAUUACUAUUCCAGCCUAUUGGAAGCCCUUUUCAUUAAAUUAAUGACAUUGUUGUGCACGUCUAAAACUAGCAUUUUAGGAGGAAUAAACAUUGUGCUGAUCAGGAG